UCCGGUGACUAUAGUAAGUUCAUAAAACCCGUUCCCAUUCCGAACACGGCAGUUAAGGUUCUUGCGCCGAUGGUACUGUUGAAUAGACGGGAGAGUAGGUAUUGCCGGAU
rnacentral:rRNA from 4 species